rnacentral:sRNA from 1 species
UUCAGUUGGCAUAGCUGAGUAGGACUAGGGCCAGGAGUGGAGAUGGCCCCCUUGAGCAUUUUCUUGGUAGUAUUUCCUCCUUUCCAAUUCGUGCUCUUCAUUUACUUCACUCCAUCCUUGGGUGAUGAGGGCACAACCCCAGUGCACUGAAGUACAGAAGUCUCCACACUUGAAAAAACGAAUCUCCACAAAUGUGACUUGCUCAGUUCCCGGCAGCACCAGGACUGGGCCCAGGGUCCCAGAACCUUGAGUCAGGGCUUAGCUGGGAGCUGACCUAUCUCCAGAGAGUCCAUUCUGGUCCCUCAGGCUGUCUUGGUGCGGAGCACUGAUCCCUCAUGCCCCCUCCCGCUGGCCCUUGGCAGUGUAUUCUGAGCAGAAGCUCCAGAGAGGAAAGAGCCCGCGGAGAUGGGGCCAGCGUUCACGGCAGUGACAGAGCUGGGAUGAAUCCCGGCGUCUCCUGCCUGCUGCCUGCCUGGGGCAGCCUUCUUUGCACUUUGGUGGAGGAAGGGUGCAGUGGAAUUGGUCCCCGUUUCUCCUGGGAGGGGCCUUCACCGGAGCUGCUCUCACCACAGAUUGAGUGCCAUCUAUGGGGGGACAUAUAUGCUGAACAAACCUGUGGAUGACAUCAUCAUGGAGAACGGCAAGGUGGUGGGCGUGAAGUCUGAGGGAGAGGUGAGCCCUUCCCGUGCAUGCAGUGCAGUCCCAUGGUUGAGGCGGGGCUUGGUCACUUUCUCUGUGCUGUCGAGUCUCCUGCUGCACAGCCCCAAGGAUCUUGGAGCUGGGAACUGGGGGUCCAGAAGUCUUCAGAAUCGUGACUGUGGGUGAGAGGUCUCUUUCAGAGGCCACAUGCCAUGUCUGUGGUGCAGAAAGUGUUCUUGAUCACAGUGCCUCUGGGGGGUGGGGUGGGGGCGGGGGUGGGGGUGGGGUGGGGGCGGGGGUGGGGGCGGGCACCCAGCCCGUGCGUCAAGGCCCACCUAUCUGAGCGGCAGGGUAGGGCCAUGCAUUCAGGAGGGGCAGUAGUGAUGGCUCCGAGGAGCGUCUUGUCUGCCAGAGCUGCCUGCCCUUGCUGUGAGCACAGCCCCACGUCUACCUAAGGGAGGGAUGUGACAGGGGCGAGGACUUCUGGUGCCUUCUCAGGUGGCCCGCUGCAAGCAGCUGAUCUGUGACCCCAGCUACAUCCCGGACCGUGUGCGGAAGGCUGGCCAGGUUAUCCGCAUCAUCUGUAUCCUUAGCCACCCCAUCAAGAACACCAACGACGCCAACUCCUGCCAAAUAAUCAUCCCCCAGAACCAGGUCAACAGGAAGUCAGACAUCUACGUGUGCAUGAUCUCCUAUGCACACAACGUGGCGGCCCAGGGCAAGUACAUAGCUAUUGCCAGCACUACUGUGGAGACCACGGACCCUGAAAAGGAGGUGGAGCCGGCUCUGGAGCUGUUGGAGCCCAUAGACCAGAAGUUUGUGGCUAUCAGUGACUUGUAUGAGCCCAUUGAUGAUGGUUGUGAGAGCCAGGUGUUCUGUUCCUGCUCCUACGAUGCCACCACACACUUUGAGACAACCUGCAACGACAUCAAAGACAUCUACAAACGCAUGGCUGGCACGGCCUUUGACUUUGAGAACAUGAAGCGCAAACAGAACGACGUCUUUGGAGAAGCUGAGCAGUGAUUGUGGCCGCCCCCAGCCGCUGCUGCCCCAGCCUGUGUCUGUUCUCCUCGAGGGCUCCAGCAUCCUCUGCUUCCCCCACCACGUUCCCAUCACCCACCUCAUUGAUCCACUGACCAAAUCCUUAACCCUAGCGAUGGCUUGGGAGAUGGGGGGUUGGAUGGCAUCCUCUUUCUUGGCCCUUCCUUAUCCUAGGAAAAGAGGGUUCCUCUCCUUGUGUGUGUCUCUUCCCCCCACCCCUAAUUCUUCUGCUCUGUUUGGGAAGACGUGGAGGAAAAGGUGACUUCUGCCCCCACCGCUCUUACCCCCACUGUAGUGGCCUUUGGAGAUGCCCCCACCUCCCCCCCACCAACUCUUGCGUGUUGGAGAGAAGGGGCCCUCCCAGCACAAAGUUGCAUUCCUCCCCCCUAAUUUAUUCUAAUUUAUUAACUUUGACCCACCCUUUCUGAGCCUGCAGCCUUCCCGUGUGGCCUGAGGGCUGUAGAGUGAGCUGUCCCAGCCCCUCCCAGCCCUUGCCCAGCCUGGGGGAGUGGGGAAGGCUUGGGCAUGGCCCCGUUGGAGGUUGAUUUGCUGUUUUGUUUCUUGUCUUUGUGUUCUGUGGUACUUGCUGAGAGAAAAGAAAAGUGAGCAAAGCAGAAGGAGGUGGGAAAACGGACCCAAACCCCAGUGUGCCCUGCCCCAUGCCUUUCCUUUAGUGGUGGGAAACCCUUAUCUUGCAAAGUGAAUGUGUCCCCUUCCCCACCCUCUAGUGUAUUUCACAGAAAACAAAACCUCCCAAUAAAACGGUUGAAACCUG